UGAUGGACAACAGGUUGAAAUUCCUGUACCUUAAGUAAACAGAACUGUGGGGACACGUGUGGAGAGCACAAGCCGGAAACGGAAAAGCCGGUGCAAGCGAGGUAGGAGAUGAACAGGCAAAUCCGUUCAUCAAUCCGAAGACGUGAUGCGGACCGAAUUAAGAGUAGGGAAGUGUGUGAGCCAUGCGUCAAGAAAAGCCGCUAUUGUUUUACUUAAGCCCGUACCGUAAACCGACACAGGUGGAUGAGGAGAGAAUCCUAAGGCCGACGGGAGAAGCAUUGUUAAGGAACUCGGCAAAAUGACUCCGUAACUUCGGGAGAAGGAGUGCCAGCGAGAGCUGGCCGCAGAGAAUUGGCCCAAGCAACUGUUUAGCAAAAACACAGGUCUAUGCAAAACCGUAAGGUGAAGUAUAUGGGCUGACGCCUGCCCGGUGCUGGAAGGUUAAGAGGAGAGGUUAGCGGCAACGCGAAGCUUUGAAUUUAAGCCCCAGUAAACGGCGGCCGUAACGAUAACGGUCCUAAGGUAGCGAAAUUCCUUGUCGGGUAAGUUCCGACCCGCACGAAAGGCGUAAUGAUUUGGGCACUGUCUCAACAAUGCACCCGGUGAAAUUGAAAUACCAGUGAAGAUGCUGGUUACCUGCGCCAGGACGGAAAGACCCCAUGGAGCUUUACUCCAGCUUGAUACUGGGAUUCGGUAUUGCAUGUACAGGAUAGGUGGGAGGCUAGGAAGUGAUAACGCCAGUUGUCACGGAGCCGCUGUUGGGAUACCACCCUUGCAGUAUUGGAUUUCUAACCAGCGACCAUGAACUGGUCGGGGGACAAUGUCAGGUGGGGAGUUUGACUGGGGCGGUCGCCUCCGAAAGGGUAUCGGAGGCGCUCAAAGGUUCCCUCAGAAUGGACGGAAACCAUUCGAAGAGUGCAAAGGCAGAAGGGAGCUUGACUGCGACACCGACGGGUGGAGCAGGUACGAAAGUAGGACUUAGUGAUCCGGUGGUAUAAAGUGGGAUUGCCAUCGCUCAACGGAUAAAAGCUACCCUGGGAUAACAGGCUUAUCACUCCCAAGAGUUCACAUCGACGGAGUGGUUUGGCACCUCGAUGUCGGCUCAUCGCAUCCUGGGGCUGAAGUAGGUCCCAAGGGUUGGGCUGUUCGCCCAUUAAAGCGGUACGCGAGCUGGGUUCAGAACGUCGUGAGACAGUUCGGUCCCUAUCCGGCGUGGGCGUAGGAUAUUUGAGGGGAGCUGUCCUUAGUACGAGAGGACCGGGAUGGACUGGCCGCUGGUGUAUCUGUUGCAUACCAAAUGCAUGGCAGAGUAGCCAAGCCGGGACGGGAUAAACGCUGAAGGCAUCUAAGCGUGAAGCCCCCCUCAAGAUGAGAUAUCCCUACGUAAGUAGUAAGACCCCUUGAAGACGACGAGGUAGAUAGGUCAGAGGUGGAAGUACAGUAAUGUAUGGAGCUGACUGAUACUAAUCGGUCGAGGGCAUGACCG
rnacentral:rRNA from 1 species